rnacentral:rRNA from 1 species
AGCGAACGCUGGCGGCAUGCCUAACACAUGCAAGUCGCACGGAGGGGCUUCGGCCUCCCAGUGGCGGACGGGUGAGGAACGCGUAGGGACCUGUCGAGGGGUGGGGGAUAACCGCGGGAAACUGCGGCUAAUACCGCAUGACGCCGCGGCGUGACAGCCGGGGCCAAAGGCGAAAGCCGCCCGCCGAGGGGCCUGCGUCCGAUUAGCUGGUUGGCGGGGUAGCGGCCCACCAAGGCGUCGAUCGGUAGCUGGUCUGAGAGGGUGAUCAGCCACACCGGGACUGAGACACGGCCCGGACUCCUACGGGAGGCAGCAGUGGGGAAUAUUGGACGAUGGGCGCAAGCCUGAUCCAGCAAUGCCGCGUGGGUGAAGAAGGUCUUCGGAUUGUAAAGCCCUUUCGGCGGGGACGAUGGUGACGGUACCCGCAGAAGAAGCCCCGGCUAACUUCGUG